GCGUGGGUGGCUCAGUUGCUAGAGCCUAGGACUCGUAACCGAAAGGUUCCGAGUUCAAACCUCGUAAGAGGCA
rnacentral:tRNA from 1 species